UUACAGCCAUAUCACAAUGAAACACCAGUUCUCGUGCGAUCACGGAAGUUAAGUAACGUCGAGCCUGGUCAGUAACUCGAUGGGUAACCGCUUCGGAAUAUCAGGUGCU